GACAACUUGAGCUGAAAGCGAAAAACUAUGCUGACCAGAUUAGCAGACUUGAAGAAAGAGAAGCAGAACUGAAGAAGGAAUAUAAUGCAUUACAUCAAAGACACACUGAGAUGAUCCAUAAUUAUAUGGAACAUUUAGAAAGAACAAAACUUCAUCAGCUCUCAGGGAGUGAUCAACUGGAAUCCACAGCUCAUAGUAGAAUUAGAAAAGAACGUCCUAUAUCAUUAGGAAUUUUCCCAUUACCUGCUGGAGAUGGAUUGCUUACACCUGAUGCUCAGAAAGGAGGAGAGACCCCUGGAUCUGAGCAAUGGAAAUUUCAGGAAUUAAGUCAACCACGUUCUCAUACCAGCCUGAAGGAUGAGCUUUCUGAUGUUAGCCAAGGCGGAUCUAAAGCUACCACUCCAGCAUCAACAGCUAAUUCAGAUGUGGCAACAAUUCCUACUGAUACUCCCUUAAAGGAAGAAAACGAAGGAUUUGUGAAGGUUACAGAUGCGCCAAAUAAGUCAGAGAUAAGCAAACACAUUGAAGUACAGGUAGCCCAGGAAACUAGAAAUGUAUCUACUGGCUCUGCUGAAAAUGAAGAAAAGUCAGAAGUUCAAGCAAUCAUCGAAUCUACUCCUGAGCUGGAUAUGGACAAAGAUCUCAGUGGAUAUAAAGGUUCAAGCACUCCCACCAAAGGCAUAGAGAACAAAGCUUUUGAUCGCAAUACAGAAUCUCUCUUUGAAGAACUGUCUUCUGCUGGCUCAGGCCUAAUAGGAGAUGUGGAUGAAGGAGCAGAUUUACUAGGAAUGGGUCGGGAAGUUGAGAAUCUUAUAUUAGAAAAUACACAACUGUUGGAAACCAAAAAUGCUUUGAACAUAGUGAAGAAUGAUUUGAUAGCAAAAGUGGAUGAACUGACCUGUGAGAAAGAUGUGCUGCAAGGGGAAUUGGAGGCUGUGAAGCAAGCCAAACUGAAACUAGAGGAAAAGAACAGAGAAUUGGAGGAAGAGCUUAGGAAAGCUCGGGCAGAAGCUGAAGAUGCAAGGCAAAAAGCAAAAGAUGACGAUGAUAGUGAUAUUCCCACAGCCCAGAGAAAACGGUUUACUAGAGUAGAAAUGGCCCGUGUUCUCAUGGAGCGAAACCAGUAUAAAGAGAGAUUGAUGGAGCUUCAAGAAGCUGUUCGAUGGACAGAGAUGAUUCGGGCAUCACGAGAAAAUCCAGCCAUGCAGGAAAAAAAAAGGUCAAGCAUUUGGCAGUUUUUCAGCCGACUUUUCAGCUCCUCGAGUAACACGACUAAGAAGCCUGAACCACCUGUUAAUCUGAAGUACAAUGCACCCACGUCUCAUGUUACUCCAUCCGUCAAGAAAAGAAGCAGCACCUUAUCUCAGCUCCCUGGGGAUAAGUCCAAAGCCUUUGAUUUCCUUAGUGAAGAAACUGAAGCUAGUUUAGCCUCACGCAGAGAGCAAAAGAGAGAGCAGUAUCGUCAGGUAAAAGCACAUGUUCAGAAGGAAGACGGUAGAGUGCAGGCUUUUGGCUGGAGUCUGCCUCAGAAGUACAAACAGGUAACCAAUGGUCAAGGUGAAAAUAAGAUGAAAAAUUUACCUGUGCCUGUCUAUCUCAGACCUCUAGAUGAAAAAGAUACAUCAAUGAAGCUGUGGUGUGCUGUUGGAGUCAAUUUAUCUGGUGGGAAGACCAGAGAUGGUGGUUCUGUUGUUGGAGCAAGUGUAUUUUACAAGGAUGUUGCUGGUUUGGAUACAGAAGGCAGUAAACAGCGAAGUGCCUCUCAGAGUAGUUUAGAUAAGUUAGAUCAGGAACUUAAGGAACAGCAGAAGGAGUUAAAAAAUCAAGAAGAAUUAUCCAGUCUAGUUUGGAUCUGUACCAGCACUCAUUCGGCUACAAAAGUUCUUAUUAUUGAUGCUGUUCAACCUGGCAACAUCCUAGACAGUUUCACUGUUUGCAACUCUCAUGUUCUGUGCAUUGCAAGUGUGCCAGGUGCACGAGAAACAGACUACCCUGCAGGAGAAGAUCUUUCAGAAUCUGGUCAGGUAGACAAAGCAUCUUUAUGUGGAAGCAUGACAAGCAACAGCUCAGCAGAGACAGACAGCCUGUUAGGAGGCAUCACAGUGGUUGGUUGUUCUGCAGAAGGUGUGACAGGAGCUGCCACUUCCCCUAGUACCAAUGGUGCUUCUCCAGUGAUGGAUAAACCACCAGAAGUGGAAGCAGAAAAUAGUGAGGUUGAUGAAAAUGUUCCAACAGCAGAAGAAGCAACUGAAGCUACAGAAGGGAAUGCGGGGUCAGCUGAAGACACAGUGGACAUCUCCCAAACUGGCGUCUACACAGAGCAUGUCUUUACAGAUCCUUUGGGAGUUCAGAUCCCAGAAGACCUCUCCCCAGUGUAUCAGUCGAGGUAUAAUAAUGGGUCAUCAACUUAGGAAACUGGGUGAAGUGCACAAAUAAAAGGAACCAAAAUAAUCUCAAACAGUCAAAAGAUUUCCACUAAUUAGUGUCACUGUGGUGGAUUAAAAGAUACCUAUUCUUGUGAUA
rnacentral:sRNA from 1 species